rnacentral:rRNA from 1 species
ACGGCAGCAUAAUCUUCGGAUUGAUGGCGAGUGGCGGACGGGUGAGUAAUAUAUAGGAAUCUGCCUUGUAGUGGGGGAUAACUAUCCGAAAGGAUAGCUAAUACCGCAUAAUGAUUACGGUUUAAAGCAGGGGAUCUUCGGACCUUGCGCUACAAGUUGAGCCUAUACAAGAUUAGCUAGUUGGUGAGGUAAAGGCUCACCAAGGCGACGAUCUUUAGCUGGUCUGAGAGGAUGAUCAGCCACACUGGGACUGAGACACGGCCCAGACUCUUACGGGAGGCAGCAGUGGGGAAUAUUGGACAAUGGGCGCAAGCCUGAUCCAGCAAUACCGCGUGUGUGAAGAAGGCCUUCGGGUUGUAAAGCACUUUUGUUAGGGAGGAUGGUGAUUUUGGCGAAUACCCAAAGUCAUUGACGUUACCUAAAGAAUCAGCACCGGCUAACUCCGUGCCAGCAGCCGCGGUAAUACGGAGGGUGCAAGCGCUAAUCGGAUUUACUGGGCGUAAAGGGUGCGUAGGCGGUUACUUAAGUCAGAUGUGAAAUCCCCGGGCUCAACCUGGGAAUUGCAUUUGAUACUGGGUGACUUAGAAUGUGGUAGAGGGUAGCGGA